rnacentral:tRNA from 1 species
GAUUCCGUGGCCCAGUUGUUAGUGCGUUUGACUCGGAAGCAAGCGUCCCGGGUUCAAACCCCGGUCGAGUCU